AAAUAUAUAUAAUUUUUAUUAAUCAACGAGUCAAAUCAGCGUAAAAAUCACUUGGCUAGAAAAUUAAAUUAAAAUUGCAUCGUACGAGCAUUCGUAUUUCAACGAAAUAGAGGCGAAAGAUUACACCAGAUGGAAAAAUAACUCGUUCGAUGCAGUCCCACGAUUCUUUUACAACAACCGAUGCGACUGGCCGAUGAUCGAGUUUCCACGUUUUAUGGAAUUAUCGGGGAGAAUCGAUGGCGUUGAAUUUUAUUUUGACAUUUAUACGCGCAUCGAAGCGUGUAAUCAGCAAAGUGGUCCCGGAUACAGUUUCCAUCCCAAUAUAAAUUGGCGGCCGCCUGACGUCUGUUUAAUCGUUGCCGGCUGCAGAAGUAACGAAAUUAAAUAGACAUCGGGAUAAUGAUAAUAAUAACAAUAGAACAAUUGUACGUUUUAAGCGGAACAGCGCGCAAAAGCAGCCACCAGUGUUCCGUGAACGCAGCAUCAUUAGUGUCAGCUGGCUCGUGUAAACGAAUUCUGCUCACAUACGGUUGUUGUCAUUGUUGUUGUUACAUUUAUUCCGCCGGCUAGUGGACAGAUACUCUAAUUUCUCGUUUCAACGUCUGAACACGUUGUUACAUUAAAACGUGAUUUACGUAACAACCGUGGCACAGAAUUUGUUGUGUACUUAAAUUUUAAAUUAUUAUCAAUUGUGUACAACCGUGUGAAACAAACCGUUGACGCACGAUUUCGGGAAAUGGGUUAAUAGAAUCCCGAUUCGAGCACGCCACUGAACGAGGUCGACCGUUUAGUUCUCUCCUCGAAGAAGAGGAAAAGUUCAUCCUUUGCAGAUCCUGCCACGUCGUCGAUCAAAUUCUUGGAAACUCGAAUUUCCCCGGCCUUUUGUGUACUCGGAAUGGAAAAUCCAAUCGGAAAGGGGAGAAGGGAUAACGGGAUGAAAGUCGAGAUCUGACAUUAUUGAAAUAAUGAAAAUGAUGUUUCAGUUUCUAAGUAGUUUCAGGUGGUAUAUCUUCUAUUCGUAAGUCAAGUUUAAGACAUUAUAAAUUACAUACAUGAACAUUAUAAAUUUUAAUGUAAUAUUAAUUAAUUAAGUAUUGAUAUUUUA